AGAGUUUGAUCCUGGCUCAGGAUGAACGCUAGCUACAGGCUUAACACAUGCAAGUCGAGGGGCAGCAUGGUCUUAGCUUGCUAAGGCCGAUGGCGACCGGCGCACGGGUGAGUAACACGUAUCCAACCUGCCGAUAACUCGGGGAUAGCCUUUCGAAAGAAAGAUUAAUAUCCGAUAGUAUAUUAAAACCGCAUGGUUUUACUAUUAAAGAAUUUCGGUUAUCGAUGGGGAUGCGUUCCAUUAGUUUGUUGGCGGGGUAACGGCCCACCAAGACUACGAUGGAUAGGGGUUCUGAGAGGAAGGUCCCCCACAUUGGAACUGAGACACGGUCCAAACUCCUACGGGAGGCAGCAGUGAGGAAUAUUGGUCAAUGGACGAGAGUCUGAACCAGCCAAGUAGCGUGAAGGAUGACUGCCCUAUGGGUUGUAAACUUCUUUUAUAUGGGAAUAAAGUAUUCCACGUGUGGCAUUUUGUAUGUACCAUAUGAAUAAGGAUCGGCUAACUCCGUGCCAGCAGCCGCGGUAAUACGGAGGAUCCGAGCGUUAUCCGGAUUUAUUGGGUUUAAAGGGAGCGUAGGUGGAUUGUUAAGUCAGUUGUGAAAGUUUGCGGCUCAACCGUAAAAUUGCAGUUGAAACUGGGAGUCUUGAGUACAGUAGAGGUGGGCGGAAUUCGUGGUGUAGCGGUGAAAUGCUUAGAUAUCACGAAGAACUCCGAUUGCGAAGGCAGCUCACUAGACUGUCACUGACACUGAUGCUCGAAAGUGUGGGUAUCAAACAGGAUUAGAUACCCUGGUAGUCCACACAGUAAACGAUGAAUACUCGCUGUUUGCGAUAUACAGUAAGCGGCCAAGCGAAAGCAUUAAGUAUUCCACCUGGGGAGUACGCCGGCAACGGUGAAACUCAAAGGAAUUGACGGGGGCCCGCACAAGCGGAGGAACAUGUGGUUUAA
rnacentral:rRNA from 1 species